rnacentral:rRNA from 1 species
UAAAAAAAGGUAAGCUACUAAGAGCGAAUGGUGGAUGCCUUGACUGGUAAAGGCGAUGAAGGACGUACUAGACUGCGAUAAGCUACGGGGAGCUGUCAAGAAGCUUUGAUCCGUAGAUUUCCGAAUGGGGCAACCCAAUGUAUAGAGAUAUACAUUACCUAUAUAGGAGCGAACGAGGGGAAUUGAAACAUCUUAGUACCCUCAGGAAAAGAAAUCAAUAGAGAUUGCGUCAGUAGCGGCGAGCGAAAGCGCAAGAGGGCAAACCCAGUGCUUGCACUGGGGGUUGUAGGACUGCAAUGUGCAAGAGCUGAGUUUAGCAGAACAUUCUGGAAAGUAUAGCCAUAGAGGGUGAUAGUCCCGUAUGCGAAAAACAAAGCUUAGCUAGCAGUAUCCUGAGUAGGGCGGGACACGAGGAAUCCUGUCUGAAUCCGGGUCGACCACGAUCCAACCCUAAAUACUAAUACCAGAUCGAUAGUGCACAAGUACCGUGAGGGAAAGGUGAAAAGAACUGAGGUGAUCAGAGUGAAAUAGAACCUGAAACCAUUUGCUUACAAUCAUUCAGAGCACUAUGUAGCAAUACAGUGUGAUGGACUGCCUUUUGCAUAAUGAGCCUGCGAGUUGUGGUGUCUGGCAAGGUUAAGCAAACGCGAAGCCGUAGCGAAAGCGAGUCUGAAUAGGGCGCUUAGUCAGAUGCUGCAGACCCGAAACGAAGUGAUCUAUCCAUGAGCAAGUUGAAGCUAGUGUAAGAACUAGUGGAGGACUGAACCCAUAGGCGUUGAAAAGCCCCGGGAUGACUUGUGGAUAGGGGUGAAAGGCCAAUCAAACUUCGUGAUAGCUGGUUCUCUCCGAAAUAUAUUUAGGUAUAGCGUUGUGUCGUAAUAUAAGGGGGUAGAGCACUGAAUGGGCUAGGGCAUACACCAAUGUACCAAACCCUAUCAAACUCCGAAUACCUUAUAUGUAAUCACAGCAGUCAGGCGGCGAGUGAUAAAAUCCGUCGUCAAGAGGGAAACAACCCAGACUACCAGCUAAGGUCCCUAAAUCUUACUUAAGUGGAAAACGAUGUGAAGUUACUUAAACAACCAGGAGGUUGGCUUAGAAGCAGCCAUCCUUUAAAGAAAGCGUAAUAGCUCACUGGUCUAGUGAUUUUGCGCGGAAAAUAUAACGGGGCUAAAGUAAGUACCGAAGCUGUAGACUUGCACACAACUUAGAUUAUUUAAGUUUAGAAUAUGAGAAACUAAGUUAUAUGUUUAGUUAUAUUUUUACUGAUUUUUAUAGAGUAAAGAUAGAAAUAAAACUUAGUAAAAUCAGUAAAAAUAUUCUUAGGCUAAAGUUAAGUAGUUUAAGUUGUGUGCAAGUGGUAGGAGAGCGUUCUAUUUGCGUCGAAGGUAUACCGGUAAGGAGUGCUGGAGCGAAUAGAAGUGAGCAUGCAGGCAUGAGUAGCGAUAAUUAAUGUGAGAAUCAUUAACGCCGUAAACCCAAGGUUUCCUACGCGAUGCUCGUCAUCGUAGGGUUAGUCGGGUCCUAAGUCGAGUCCGAAAGGGGUAGACGAUGGCAAAUUGGUUAAUAUUCCAAUACCAACAUUAGUGUGCGAUGGAAGGACGCUUAGGGCUAAGGGGGCUAGCGGAUGGAAGUGCUAGUCUAAGGUUGUAGGAGGUUAUACAGGCAAAUCCGUAUAACAAUACUCCGAGAACUGAAAGGCUUUUUGAAGUCUUCGGAUGGAAAGAAGAACCCCUGAUGCCGUCGAGCCAAGAAAAGUUUCUAAGUUUAGCUAAUGUUGCCCGUACCGUAAACCGACACAGGUGGGUGGGAUGAGUAUUCUAAGGCGCGUGGAAGAACUCUCUUUAAGGAACUCUGCAAAAUAGCACCGUAUCUUCGGUAUAAGGUGUGCCUCCCUUUGUAUUAGGAUUUACUCCGAAAGCAAAGAAGGUUACAACAAAGAGUCCCUCCCGACUGUUUACCAAAAACACAGCACUCUGCUAACUCGUAAGAGGAUGUAUAGGGUGUGACGCCUGCCCGGUGCUCGAAGGUUAAUUGAUGGGGUUAGCAUUAGCGAAGCUCUUGAUCGAAGCCCGAGUAAACGGCGGCCGUAACUAUAACGGUCCUAAGGUAGCGAAAUUCCUUGUCGGUUAAAUACCGACCUGCAUGAAUGGCGUAACGAGAUGGGAGCUGUCUCAAAGAGGGAUCCAGUGAAAUUGUAGUGGAGGUGAAAAUUCCUCCUACCCGCGGCAAGACGGAGAGACCCCGUGGACCUUUACUACAGCUUGACACUGCUAUUUGGAUAAGAAUGUGCAGGAUAGGUGGGAGGCUUUGAGUAUAUGACGCCAGUUGUAUAUGAGCCAUUGUUGAGAUACCACUCUUUCUUAUUUGGGUAGCUAACCAGCUUGAGUUAUCCUCAAGUGGGACAAUGUCUGGUGGGUAGUUUGACUGGGGCGGUCGCCUCCCAAAUAAUAACGGAGGCUUACAAAGGUUGGCUCAGAACGGUUGGAAAUCGUUCGUAGAGUAUAAAGGUAUAAGCCAGCUUAACUGCAAGACAUACAAGUCAAGCAGAGACGAAAGUCGGUCUUAGUGAUCCGGUGGUUCUGUGUGGAAGGGCCAUCGCUCAAAGGAUAAAAGGUACCCCGGGGAUAACAGGCUGAUCUCCCCCAAGAGCUCACAUCGACGGGGAGGUUUGGCACCUCGAUGUCGGCUCAUCGCAUCCUGGGGCUGGAGCAGGUCCCAAGGGUAUGGCUGUUCGCCAUUUAAAGCGGUACGCGAGCUGGGUUCAGAACGUCGUGAGACAGUUCGGUCCCUAUCUGCCGUGGGCGUAAGAAGAUUGAAGAGAUUUGACCCUAGUACGAGAGGACCGGGUUGAACAAACCACUGGUGUAGCUGUUGUUCUGCCAAGAGCAUCGCAGCGUAGCUAAGUUUGGAAAGGAUAAACGCUGAAAGCAUCUAAGCGUGAAGCCAACUCUAAGAUGAAUCUUCUCUAAGCUCUCUAGAAGACUACUAGUUUGAUAGGCUGGGUGUGUAAUGGAUGAAAGUCCUUUAGCUGACCAGUACUAAUAGAGCGUUUGGCUUAUCUUUAAUAAAGCAU